rnacentral:rRNA from 1 species
UACGUAGGGUGCAAGCGUUGUUCGGAAUUACUGGGCGUAAAGGGCUCGUAGGUGGCCAACUAAGUCGGACGUGAAAUCCCUCAGCUUAACUGGGGAACUGCGUCCGAUACUGGAUGGCUUGAGUUUGGGAGAGGGAUGCGGAAUUCCAGGUGUAGCGGUGAAAUGCGUAGAGAUCCGGAGGAACCCCAGAGGCGAAGGCGGCAUUCUGGCUCGCAACUGACGCUCAGACACGACAGCAUGGGGAGCGAACGGG